AUUGAACGCUGGCGGCAGGCCUAACACAUGCAAGUCGAGCGGAUGAAGGGAGCUUGCUCCUGGAUUCAGCGGCGGACGGGUGAGUAAUGCCUAGGAAUCUGCCUGGUAGUGGGGGAUAACGUCCGGAAACGGGCGCUAAUACCGCAUACGUCCUGAGGGAGAAAGUGGGGGAUCUUCGGACCUCACGCUAUCAGAUGAGCCUAGGUCGGAUUAGCUAGUUGGUGGGGUAAAGGCCUACCAAGGAGACGAUCCGUAACUGGUCUGAGAGGAUGAUCAGUCACACUGGAACUGAGACACGGUCCAGACUCCUACGGGAGGCAGCAGUGGGGAAUAUUGGACAAUGGGCGAAAGCCUGAUCCAGCCAUGCCGCGUGUGUGAAGAAGGUCUUCGGAUUGUAAAGCACUUUAAGUUGGGAGGAAGGGCAGUAAGUUAAUACCUUGCUGUUUUGACGUUACCAACAGAAUAAGCACCGGCUAACUUCGUG
rnacentral:rRNA from 1 species